rnacentral:misc_RNA from 1 species
ACCACUGACUUCCGUAAACUUGACCAAACAAUUUGAGCUUUUCCAAAUUUUAUUUAUAAAUUAUAUGUUUCGGGUGGUCGUUCAGUGAUUAUUAGCACCCAUCUAAAAUGUUAGGUAGUCAUUCGUAUUUCAUAAUUGAAAUAUCAACAUUUGAGAGCAUAUAUAUAUAUAUAUAGACUAAACACUUUUGAUCUUUUUCAUGAAAACGAUUAGAUAUCAGGCAAGCUAUAUAGUGCUAUAUAUAAAUCGAUGUAGAUAAUUGUCCAGUGACCAUGCACAAUUGGUAUGCGAUGUUAUAAUAAGUGUAUUCUGAUAAGUCUCAAUCGAAAGGGAAUCGUAAUAAGUUAGUGAUAUUAUAAAAACUUGAAAGCAGCGCAAGAUAUUGCCGAAGAUUUAAUAUUUUUCGUACAAUAAUUAACCUGCAAAUAUUAAAUCGAUGUAUUAUCGUUCGAGUUCAGUGAUAAUUUGAUUAACUACAAACGAUGAUUAGUUUGAUUAACGACAAUUUGAAUUAACUAUAUUUUCAAAAAUAUUGAACUAAUUGAACAGAAUUUAUAAAAACGCUCGCUAGAUGGUAUGCAACAUGGCCGCCUCAUAUGUUUACGUUUGCAUCGGGUGCGGGUGCCGCUAUGAGAGUAAGCAGUACAGAAGUACUUUUUUCUGUCUUCGGUGUUUGCGGAUCAUUAAAAAGUGGAUUGAUUCUUUUUCGUAAAGUUUGUGCAGAUGGAAAGUAUUUACAAGAGCAUUCCAGAGUUUACAGAGAAGAAUAUAUUAAUACAGCGUUCAAAGAGAAUUUUAGAUUAAAAUGGCAGAGAAUAGAUCAUCGUCUCAUUGUCUUAUUGGGUUCAGAGAGGACUGUGCAAAAUUGAUAGAUCGCUUUGGAAAACUUGGAACGGUAAGAUUCCAAGGAUUUGCAGACAUAUGGAGGGAUAUGAAGCUUUCUCUGAUAUUUGGUGGACGUAAAUCUUUAAUGGAGCAGAUUGAAUUUUGCGAAGACACCCUCAUAGAAGCUAAAGAAUUUUUUUUACCUCCACUAUCCUUCAAAGAAAGAAUCGGUGGACUUUAUUUACUUUAUGCUCUCUAUUUCAAAAUGCCACUUAAGGGACCCAAAAUUAGAGUCAAAAUAGAAGAUUGGCAGGAUAUUGUUGAAAUCAGAGGAGAAAUAGUCCAGGCAGAACAUCAUGAUGCCAGUUUUAUUCUAUCCAAACUUAUGCUGGAGAAUGCAUUUGUUCACUCUUCACUCGAGCAAGAGUUUGCUCUAGAAAAAAGUUAUCGUCUAAAGGGCUCAAAACUGCGUAACACAUAUUCGAUCUUGAGCGACAUCAGAGAACUCGCUGGUCCAGGUGAUCUUUUAAAUCGAGUCAAUGUUUUUGGUGAGUAUUAUCGUUUGAUCAAAGCGUGUGAGACAGAGGAUCGAUCGACAAAAGAUCAUCGGAGAACGAUUCGUCCUCCCGAAUGUCUGAAACUAUACGACUCAUCAUUUGGUAAGCACCUCUUGGAUGCUGUUGAACAGCUUGAAAACUCAAGGAAAUUUAUAAAGUUCGCGAAAACUCGUGGACUUUCGACUCCAGAUGAUUCAUCAAUUCAGAAUACUCAACCGGAAGUCGAGAAGGCUCAGUUCACUGUGACCGGCGUUCCUUACAAUGAAACUGGUACCAUCAUAGUGCAUUCUUCGUUCCCCGCGGCGGACGAAAAGAUGCGAGGUUUGACCAAGUGAAGCAGUGCAGUGAAGAAAAGGUGUCGUUAAAGAAGCGGUACCGUUACUCGGCCACUUGGCAAGUACCUGACAAGACCAUCGGGGGUUUGUGAAAUUCGAACGUUGUUUAUUAUCCAGUUUUCUACACCUUCAUCCGUAAGCCAAUACUGUGCGGCUCCGAGCGCUGAGGAUGCUUCUUGAAGACACGAAGGCCCGUGUCUCGAUUCGGCAUAAAAUACGUUGAGAGAAAAGUCCUCCACGAAAUACGCAAUGAAUAUAGGAAGUUUAUAAUCAUCGAUGUUUGCUAAAGCACACUUCUCAUCAUGAAAAAAAAUUUACCUGACUCAUGUCUGAGAAAGAAUCAGUUGUCGUCCUUGUGCCAGCAGCGUCAACCAGGUAAACGAGGGCGCAUUGUUCGGAUGUGAAACUAACUCCUUUAUACCACAUUUUUGCGUAUCUACGUAUAGUAAAAAUGCAAAGGGAAAGAGAUAGAAUUGUCGUAUUAAAUUCAAUGGGGAACAAACGACUAAUUAUACUUGUUGUUUCCGUGUGCGUCAUGAGCAAGAAUCUCAACUCGCGAACCGUACUGAUAAAUUCUUCCAUUGGGAUGUAAAAGCGCAGAUGCAGCACCCGAUCCACUCAACGAUAACACUAUAUUAUUCUUGGAGACAGAUAAAUGUAUUGAAUAUUCCUGAA